UAGUUAUAGCAACAGUGAUUCCCUAAACUAUUUAAAUAUAUUUUUAUUUCAACGAACCAGAAGGCUGGUUAUGCCUAUACGAAUAGAGAAAAAUCUGUAAAGUGUUCACUGGGAAUUUUUAAUCACAGAGUACUGAAACCACUGAACUGCAAUGUACACGUAUCCCUUCACAGUUAUAAACAUAGCACCGUGUACAGCAAAAUUUGAGCGAGUUUAUGGAUUCCUUUCUGGGAAGAGUCUGUGCAGUGAUAUUUGGCCAUAUAAAACUACAAGGUCUCUCGACAAUUUCUAUGAUGGGCACUGUGCAAAGCGGUGUUAUGGGCAUUUGGAUUACUGGCAUCAUCCGUGCCAUUACUGCUAAAAGUCUAGGGAAGCUGACGAUAAAAGGAGGGAAAAGGAACAAGAAGUUCCCACUGACUUUGACAGCAGCCGUCAAGCAGGUUGAUAUAGAUGCCAUUGCCUCUAUAGAUAAGAAUUCUUGUUCUGUGACUCGUACCUCGUCGUACCUGAUAGUUUAUGAAACAAAUAUUACGUUCAGCAGGACAGAUUACAAUGUUAUUCUUGAAACCGCUCCUCUGAUCGAAGAGAAAAUAAAGAAUUACAUAAGGAACUAUACCAGUACCUUGCAAACACUGCUCUAUGACGUUAUGAGGACGACCCCUUUGCCAGAUGGCGUCAAGAAUCAAUUACAGUGCUACGGAACAACACCAGGAACAACACAGGAACAACACCAGCAGCAACAACAAAAGGAACAACACCAGCAGCAACAAUAACAACAACAACAACAAAAGGAACAACAACAUUAGGAACAACAACAACAACAAAAGGAACAACAACAUUAGGAACAACAACAACAGCAACAACAACAACAAAAGCCACAACAGGACAAACAACAUCAGUUCCAGCUAAUCCCUGCAAUAACUGCAAUAAGACAAUCAUCGUCGACGAAACGAGCUUCCCAGUGGCUGACACGACCUACAAGUACUGGGCGUCGCCAAAUUACCCUAAUAAUUACCCAGACGGCUGCUAUUGUUGCCUUGAC